GUCUAUGGCCAUGCUACACUGAACAAGCUCGAUCCCGUCUGAUCUCGGAAGCUAAGCAGGGUCAGGCCCGGUUAGUACUUGGAUGGGAGACCACCUAGGAAGAUCAGGUGCUGUAGGCA
rnacentral:rRNA from 1 species